rnacentral:rRNA from 1 species
GGAUUAGAUACCCUGGUAGUCCACGCCAUAAACGAUGGAUACUUGUUGUUGGAGGUUUUGACCCCUUCAGUGACGAAGCUAACGCGUUAAGUAUCCCGCCUGGGGAGUACGGUCGCAAGAUUAAAACUCAAAGAAAUUGACGGGGGCCCGCACAAGCGGUGGAGUAUGUGGUUUAAUUCGAUGCAACGCGCAAAACCUUACCUAGGCUUGACAUGGACAGGAAGAGUGGCAGAAACGCUCUCGCCCGCAAGGGCCUGUUCACAGGUGCUGCAUGGCUGUCGUCAGCUCGUGCCG